CCCUGAUAAUCCAACGAUUAAUCGUUGGAUCGCGGGGGAUACUGCUUGGCUAGGGGACGAGAGAGGCAGACGGUAUUUCCGGGGUAGGGGUGAAAUCCUAUAAUCCCGGGAAGACCACCAGUGGCGAAGGCUGUCUGCUAGAACGCGCCCGACGGUGAGGGAUGAAAGCUGGGGGAGCGAACCGGAUUAGAUACCCGGGUAGUCCCAGCUGUAAACGAUGCAGGCUAGGUGUUUGGACGGCCACGUGCCGUUCUAGUGCCGCAGGGAAGCUGUUAAGCCUGCCGCCUGGGGAGUACGAUCGCAAGAUUGAAACUUAAAGGAAUUGGCGGGGGAGCACCACAAGGGGUGAAGCUUGCGGUUUAAUUGGAGUCAACGCCGGAAAUCUCACCGGGAGCGACAGCAGUGUGAAGGCCAGAUUAAAGGUCUUGCCAGACGAGCUGAGAGGAGGUGCAUGGCCGUCGCCAGUUCGUGCCGUGAGGUGUCCUGUUAAGUCAGGCAACGAUCGAGACCCGCGUCCUCUGUUGCUACUAGCCUUGUGCUGGGCACACUGAGGAGACCGCCACUGAUAAAGUGGAGGAAGGAGCGGGCCACGGCAGGUCAGUAUGCCCCGAAUCUCCCGUGCCACACGCGAGCUGCAAUGGCAGGUACAAUGAGUUCCAACCUCGAAAGGGGGAGGCAAUCUCGAAAGCCUGCCGUAGUUGGGAUCGAAGGCUGCAACCCGCCUUCGUGAACAUGGAAUCCCUAGUAAUCGCGUGUCAUCAGCGCGCGGUGAAUACGUCCCUGCUCCUUGCAC
rnacentral:rRNA from 1 species